rnacentral:RNase_P_RNA from 1 species
GUGAGUUGGUGUGUGGCUUUCGGGCCUCUUUUGGAGGCUUGAGGAAACUCCGCUCACUUGUAGAAUUGCAGCACUCGUCAAGGGUGCAGGGCGAGAGCCUUGGCCACAGAACAGAAACGAAACGCCCAGCAGGCGUGUGCUGAUGAUGCGCUCGUAAGGCGUUGAAGUUGCCUGUUGGAGACGGUGAAACGGCUGUCCUGCAAGUGGAAAGGGCAAACAGACGCCGAUGAAGCAGUCUACCAGAAGGCGCGGGUAGCCCGAGUAGCCAAAUGCCACAAGACGCAGAACAAAAAGCGGGUUACAGCCAACACAC